AUUGAACGCUGGCGGCAUGCCUUACACAUGCAAGUCGAACGGUAACGCGGGGCAACCUGGCGACGAGUGGCGAACGGGUGAGUAAUGUAUCGGAACGUGCCCAGUUGUGGGGGAUAACUGCUCGAAAGAGCAGCUAAUACCGCAUACGACCUGAGGGUGAAAGCGGGGGAUCGCAAGACCUCGCGCAAUUGGAGCGGCCGAUAUCAGAUUAGGUAGUUGGUGGGGUAAAGGCCCACCAAGCCAACGAUCUGUAGCUGGUCUGAGAGGACGACCAGCCACACUGGGACUGAGACACGGCCCAGACUCCUACGGGAGGCAGCAGUGGGGAAUUUUGGACAAUGGACGCAAGUCUGAUCCAGCCAUGCCGCGUGCGGGAAGAAGGCCUUCGGGUUGUAAACCGCUUUUGUCAGGGAAGAAACGGUCUGGGUUAAUACCUCGGGCUAAUGACGGUACCUGAAGAAUAAGCACCGGCUAACUACGUGCCAGCCGCCGCCGUAAGAC
rnacentral:rRNA from 1 species